ACAAGCAGAGAAGCUGUGAUUAGAAUUGCUAUGUUUAUUAAACUGAGGAGAUAACGUAAAUUGAUUCCUCUCUCUAACUCUUGCUAAUCAGGCGCUACUUCUCUGGAAUUAUGGCAAGAGUUGAGACUAAAUAAAACAAAGGGACAAUUGGAACUAGCCUUCACAAUCUUGGAGACAGUAAAAUUCCUUUGAAGGCUAAAAGACCAUUUUUGUCAUUGGAGAUGUUUACUGAUUAUAUUCACAAAUCCUUCAUCAAGACUUCUUUCUUAAGAAGCCUCCUUCAGAAGAGAAAUUCUCUAAGCAUUAAAAACUAUCACAGACACAUGAAUAUUAUAUGAGUAUUUCAAAGCAAAUUUGGAUUAAAAUUCAUCAAAUUCAUGACAUACAUGGAGUUCCCUGAAGCAUUAUUUCAUAUUUCUGGAUUUUCAAAGUGAUUACAUAUUAAAAGGCCUCGUCUCCAAAAUUACCACACUGAGGGCCAAGACUUCAACAUAUGGUGGAGAGCAGGAGUUUGGAAGCUGAAAAAUCUAACAUCAAGAGUUCAGCAGACUGGAUGCUUGUUAAUAGCCCAUUUCUAAAUUUAUAGAUGGUACCUUUUAGCUGCGUUCACAAAUGAUGAAAAGAACUGGAGCCUCUUUCAUAAGAGCAAUAAUCCCUAAUCACCUCCGGAAAGCCCUGCCUCUUAAAACAAUGAUUUUGUGGAUUAACAUUUUAACAUGUGAGUUUGAUAGAGAUACAAACAUUCAGACUACAGCAAAAAGAAAAAAGGGAGAAGAAUAUUUGUAUGAAAUAUGAGAUUGAUCUGGACUUGGAAAAAUCAGGGAGACACAGUGGACUGGACUCAAUUUGAAAUUCAGUAAAUCAUUUGCUUUGAGUGUG